CGGGUGGGAAACGAAAAUCCUGAUGCAAUAACUGGAUUCCUAGUGGGUGCUGCGGUUCCACCGAUACCAUGUACCUUAUCUAACAGAUUGAUAAUACAUACACCGAUGCAUGGACAACUUUUUAUCCAAAUGCUUUUCUAAGUAUAUUACAGUGACUUGGUCUCUAAGUCAUAUGGCCUCACUUAACAGUUAUUAGCCACACUCCUUAGUUAAGCCUAACUCACUAUUCAAGGUCGUCAUUGAGACCCUUACCUAAUAGUUAUUGGACCCAACCCUG
rnacentral:lncRNA from 1 species